GACGGAGGAUGCAAGUGUUAUCCGGAAUCACUGGGCGUAAAGCGUCUGUAGGUGGUCAAAUAAGUCAACUGUUAAAUCUUGAGGCUCAACCUCAAAAUCGCAGUCGAAACUAUUAGACUAGAGUAUAGUAGGGGUAAAGGGAAUUUCCAGUGGAGCGGUGAAAUGCGUAGAGAUUGGAAAGAACACCAAUGGCGAAGGCAGCUCGCUGGGACGUGACUGACGCUGAGACGCGAAAGCGUGGGGAGCAAACAGG
rnacentral:rRNA from 1 species